UUAAAUACUGAAAAAAUAUGUGAGUUACUAUUUAAACUUUAAAUAUCAUCAAUAAGAUGAAGUGUAUAAGGACCAGAUAGUUCAGAUUACUCAUGUGUAAUGGAAAACUAAUCGCAUAGUGAAUGAAUUAGCAAACUAUGCGUUUUAGUUACCGUUUAGUCUGCAUUUAUUUGAUGUUUGUCCGAUAGUUGCAAGUCCGACAUUGUAAGAUGAUACACAUGGGAUGUUGUUAUAAAAUCUUCGAGUGUACUUUUAUGUUAUGAAUAAAUCAUAAGGAGCUUUUGUCCCAUAUUCAUUAUCAAAAAAAGAAAGAUGGAGUGUGUAGAAUAACAAGAUAGUUUAUUAUAAUG
rnacentral:sRNA from 1 species